UAUUGUUAAAAUGGCCACAGUGCUCAAAGUAAUUUAUAGAUUCAAUGCAAUCCCUAUUAAAAUUCAAAUUACAUUCUUUAUAGAAAUAGAAAAGACAAUCCUAAAAUUCACAUGGACUCACAAAAGGCCCGAAGUAGCCAAAGCAAUCUUGAACAAGAAGACAAAAGCUGGAGGCAUCACACUUCCUAAUUUUAAAAAUAUAUUACAAAGCUACAGUAAUCAAAACAGUAUGCUACUAGCAUAAAAACAGAUAUAUAGACCAAUGGGAUGGAUUAGAGAGCUCAGAAGUAAACCCAUGUAUAUAUGGUCAACCAACUGGGAAGGUGCCAAAAGCACAUAAUAGGAAAAAGAUAGUUUCUUCAAUAAAUGGUGUUGGGAAAAACUGAAUAUGCAAAUGCAGAAAAAUGAAAAAAUAAAAUUACACCUUCAUCUCACACUAUAUGCAAAAAUCAACUCAAAAUGGAACACAGACUUGUAUUUAAAACCUGCAAAUAUAAAGCUACUAAAAGAAAACAUGCAUAUGAGCUUCUUGACAUUGGUCUGGGCAAUAAUUUUUUGAAUAUGACAUCAAAAGCACAAGUAAAAAAAAGCAAAAAUAAAGUGGAAUUAUAUCAAACUAAAAAGCUUCUGCACUAGCAAAAGAAACAAUCAUCAGAGUGAAACGCAACCUAUGAAUUGAGAUAAAGUAUCUACAAAUCAUAUAUCUGAUAAGAAUUAAUAUCCAAAAUGCAUAAGGAUGUCAUACAACUCAAUACGAAAAUGACAAAUAAUCUGAUUUUUUAAUGGUCAAAGGAUCUGAAUAGACAUAUUUCCAAAAAGACAUACAAAUGCAAAAAAAACCAGGUUUAUGCAAAGUGCCUAAUAUCACUAAUCAUCAGGGAAAUGCAAAUCAAAAUCACAGUGAAAUAUUACCUCGCACCUGUCGAGAUGGCUGUUAUCAAAAAGACAAAAGAUAACAAAUGUUGGCAAGAAUGUGGAGAAAAGGGAACCCCUGUAAACUGUUUGUGGGAAUGAUAGUUGGUACAGUGACUGUGGAAAACAGUGUGGAAGUUCUUCAAAAAAUUGAAGAUGGAACUACCUUAUGAUUCAGUAAUCCCAACUCUGAGAAUACAUUUAUCUCUCCAAAGGAAAUGAAAUCAGAUUGUCAAAGAGAUACCUAUAUUUCUAUGUUCAUUGCAGCGUUAUACACAAUAGCCAAUAUAUGGACAAAAUGUAAAUGUUGACAAAUGAAUGGACAAAGAAAACAUGAUGUGUGUGUGUAUGUGUGUGUGUUGUAUGUGUGUGGGUGCAUGUGUAUACAGGCAGAGAUAGGAUAUUUUUUAACCUUAAAAAAAAUCCUGUCAUUUGUACGAAAAUGGAUGAACCUAGAGCAGAUUAUGCUCAGUGAAAUAAGCCAGAUAUAGAAAGGCAAAUACUGCAUUGUUACAUUUAUACAUUAAACCUAAAAUGGUCGCUGUCAUAGAAGUAGGGAGUAGAAUGGUGGUUGCCAGAGGCUGGCAAAAGGGGAAAAUUGGUAGAUGUUGGUUAAAGGGUACAAAGUUUCAGAAUUGCAGACAAAUAAGUUCUGUAGAGCUAAUGUAUAGCAUGCUGACAACAGAUAACAAUUCUGUAUUGCAUGCUUGAAAUCUGCCAAGUGGGUAGAUCUGGUGUUCUCAUUACACAUGAAAUAAAUAGAGGAGGAGAAGGAAGGAGAAGGAAACAGAAAGGAGGAAAUGACUUGGGGCAGGUGAUGGAUGUGUUAAUUAGCAUGAUUGUGGUGAUUAGCUCACAAUGUGUAUGUAUAUUAAAACAUCAAGUUGAAUACCUUAAAUAUAUACAACAUUUAUUUGUCAGUUAUACCUCAGUAAAGUCAAAAAGUCAAUAGGCUACAAAAAUUCCAGAGUCAUUAUUUUUAAAAUUAAAUUUACAAUGUUUUAUCAAUCAAUACAUGAAUACAUCUUAAUUUUAUGUCACUGUAACUAGUACUAUUCUAGGCAGUAAUAAAAAUAGUAUUCUAGUACUAUUCUAGGAGUAACAAAAAUAUAAUAGAAAACAAAGAAGAUGAAUGUAACACUUGGGAAAUGAGCAGACUUA
rnacentral:lncRNA from 1 species